AACGCACAUUGCGCCCCCUGGCAUUCCGGGGGGCAUGCCUGUCCGAGCGUCAUUUCUGCCCUCCAGCGCGGCUGGGUGUUGGGUGCUGUCCCCCCGGGGACACGCCCCAAAGGCAGUGGCGGCGCCGCGUCGGGUCCUCGAGCGUAUGGGGCUCUGUCACCCGCUCGGGAAGGACUCGCCGGCGCCUGGUCUCCUUCAACUAAUUUUCCGGUUGACCUCGGAUCAGGUAGGGUUACCCGCUGAACUUAA
rnacentral:misc_RNA from 1 species